rnacentral:rRNA from 1 species
UACGUAGGGGGCAAGCGUUGUCCGGAUUCAUUGGGCGUAAAGAGCGUGUAGGCGGCCAGGUAGGUCGGUUGUGAAAACUGGAGGCUCAACCUUCAGAGGUCGACCGAAACCAUCUGGCUAGAGUCCGGGAGAGGAGAGUGGAAUUCCUGGUGUAGCGGUGAAAUGCGCAGAUAUCAGGAGGAACACCGGUGGCGAAGGCGGCAUCCUGGACCGGCAUUGACGCUAAAGCGCGAAAGCCAGGGGAGCAAACGGG